rnacentral:rRNA from 1 species
CCUACGGGAGGCAGCAGUAGGGAAUCUUUCACAAUGGGCGAAAGCCUGAUGGAGCAACGCCGCGUGCAGGAUGAAGGCCUUCGGGUUGUAAACUGCUUUUAUAAGCGAGAAAUAUGAUGGUAACUUAUGAAUAAGGAUCGGCUAACUACGUGCCAGCAGCCGCGGUCAUACGUAGGAUCCGAGCAUUAUCCGGAGUGACUGGGUGUAAAGAGUUGCGUAGGUGGCAUAAUAAGUAGCUAGUGAAAUCUGGUGGCUCAACCAUUCAGACUGUUAGCUAAACUGUUAAGCUCGAGACCGUUAGGGGUAACUGGAAUUUCUAGUGUAGGAGUGAAAUCCGUAGAUAUUAGAAGGAACACCAAUAGCGUAGGCAGGUUGCUGGGACGGUUCUGACACUAAGGCACGAAAGCGUAGGGAGCAAACGGGAUUAGAUACCCGUGUAGUC